ACUGCUGAGGAAAAUGUUCGACAGAUCAAUUUUGUUCUGUUUGUGCUGUUGCCGUGUGUUUGGUGUUGAUGCAAUGAAGUCAGUGUCAGUGAUGGAGGGAGAUUCAGUCACUCUACAGACUGAUACUGAACUACAGACAAAUGGUCUGAUCAUGUGGAACUUUAAAACCACCGGGCCUCUUUUAGCAAAAAUGAACUGCGUGACCAAGGACAUCUCAAUAAGGGAAGAUGUUCUUGAUGGGAGAUUCAGAAACAGACUGAAGGUGGACACUCAAACUGGAUCUCUGACCAUCAUGAACACCAGAAUCACAGACUCUGAAGAUUAUCAAAUCACCAUCAGCAGC